GGUCUGUUUUUAUUGAGGUCUCCUUCCCGUUUUGCUACAUUCCAGAAAAUUUAUAAGGAACUGCAAAGUUACAAAGUGACUUAUGAGCCGUUCACUGUGUCCUUACAUUCUGGCCCUUUUUUGUUCCUCAGCUUCUUUACCUGGCUCACAAACGGUUUAUUAAUUAUUUGUUCUAUAUUUUAACAGGGAUGUUUUUCCUUUAGAGACUCAGUGUUCUCUCAGUAACUCAGAAUCAAGAGUGAAGAGGAAGCAAGGAAUGAAGAAUUCAGAGGCAGUAACUCUCAUGGGUGUGCUUGGACUUCUCUGAGUUGGACUGGGACCAGUUGAGCCUGUUCAGAGGAAACUGUGGAGAGGCGUGGUGCUGGAGAAUUAGAGGAACUUGGUCUUAGUGGGUAUGGGCAACUUCUCACCCCUGAAAUCCACCAGGUGGCAUGACUGCUCCUUAAAAUUGCUAAAAACUGUGGAAUUCAUAAAAUACUUCAAAGUGUGGGCUUCAGCUUCAAGAGAUAUACUUUUUCUCUGCUUCUUCAAGCACAAGGAUAAAAUGUUUCUGGUCUUUUGACCAACAUUAGACUUUAGAGUUAUGAAUGGGCAUUUCUCCCAGUGUGGAUCCAACAAACUACUGAUGAAAAUUGCAUCUGUACUGAACAUGCCAGUUUUCUUUUCCUUUCUUCUUCUUCUUCUUCAUCUUUUUUCCACCCAUUUUCUUAACAAUACAGUGUAACAUUUUUUUUCCCAUCUUUAGAGACGUUGAAGAUACCGGAGCCUGAGACUGAAUUUUUGAAAUCUGUUUGUUUACAGCACAGUCACUCAAUUUCUUUGCCUUUCUCAAUGACCAAGGAGUCAGACCUUCAAACCAGGCAUGACCUUUAAACUGGAGUAAGAUUGAUGGAUGAAAAUCAAGAGCUGAGCCUGGCUGGUCUUAAAUUUCUGGGCUCAAGAAAUCCUCCUAACUCAGCCUCCUGAGUAGCCACAACUUCAGGCAUGUGGCACUAAGACCAGCUCUGAACUUCAUCUUGACAUGUAAAUAUUUGGUUUUCUGGACUGGAUUGCCAGCUUCUUCAAGUUUGAACUCAACAUAUCUUCAAUUAAUAAACACCUGCUGA